CUUUACUAUAGCCUGGAAUUGUGUUCGGGCUUUUCUUGCGCAGACUAGGUGGGAGGCUAUGAAGAUUUCCUUCCGGGGAAGUUGGAGCCAUCAGUGAGAGACCACUCUGGAGAGGCUAGAAUCCUAAUGGUGAUCCUUGAAUCAGGACACUUGACAGUUUCAGGUGGGCAGUUUUUCUGGGGCGGAAGCCUCAUAAAGGGUAACUGAGGCGCGCAAAGGUCCCCUCAGUCUGGACGGAAAUCAGACAACGAGUGUAAAGGCAAAAGGGGGCUUGACUGCAAGACCUACAAGUCGAGCAGGAGCGAAAGCUGGCCUUAGUGAUCCGACGGUACCGUGUGGGAGGGCCGUCGCUCAACGAAUAAAAGUUA
rnacentral:rRNA from 1 species